GAUGAACGCUGGCGGCGUGCCUAAUACAUGCAAGUCGAGCGAACAGACGAGGAGCUUGCUCCUCUGACGUUAGCGGCGGACGGGUGAGUAACACGUGGAUAACCUACCUAUAAGACUGGGAUAACUUCGGGAAACCGGAGCUAAUACCGGAUAAUAUAUUGAACCGCAUGGUUCAAUAGUGAAAGACGGUUUUGCUGUCACUUAUAGAUGGAUCCGCGCCGCAUUAGCUAGUUGGUAAGGUAACGGCUUACCAAGGCGACGAUGCGUAGCCGACCUGGGAGGGUGAUCGGCCACACUGGAACUGAGACACGGUCCAGACUCCUACGGGAGGCAGCAGUAGGGAAUCUUCCGCAAUGGGCGAAAGCCUGACGGAGCAACGCCGCGUGAGUGAUGAAGGUCUUCGGAUCGUAAAACUCGGUUAUUAGGGAAGAACAAAUGUGUAAGUAACUAUGCACGUCUUGACGGUACCUAAUCAGAAAGCCACGGCUAACUACGUG
rnacentral:rRNA from 1 species